rnacentral:rRNA from 1 species
AGUGAACGCUGGCGGUAGGCCUAACACAUGCGAGUCGAACGGCAGCACAGUAAGAGCUUGCUCUUACGGGUGGCGAGUGGCGGACGGGUGAGGAAUACAUCGGAAUCUACUUUUUCGUGGGGGAUAACGUAGGGAAACUUACGCUAAUACCGCAUACGACCUACGGGUGAAAGCAGGGGAUCUUCGGACCUUGCGCGAUUGAAUGAGCCGAUGUCGGAUUAGCUAGUUGGCGGGGUAAAGGCCCACCAAGGCGACGAUCCGUAGCUGGUCUGAGAGGAUGAUCAGCCACACUGGAACUGAGACACGGUCCAGACUCCUACGGGAGGCAGCAGUGGGGAAUAUUGGACAAUGGGCGCAAGCCUGAUCCAGCCAUACCGCGUGGGUGAAGAAGGCCUUCGGGUUGUAAAGCCCUUUUGUUGGGAAAGAAAAGCAGCAGGCUAAUACCCCGCUGUUCUGACGGUACCCAAAGAAUAAGCACCGGCUAACUUCGUG